rnacentral:rRNA from 1 species
AACACGGUUAUCGGAUUACUGGGCGUAAGCGUGCGCAGGCGGUUUGCUAAGACCGAUGUGAAAUCCCCGGGCUCAACCUGGGAACUGCAUUGGUGACUGGCAGGCUAGAGUUUGGCAGAGGGGGGUAGAAUUCCACGUGUAGCA